rnacentral:rRNA from 1 species
AUGUCGAGCGCCGCCACCACCGGUUCCACUGCUGCGGGCUUCCUCCCGGCCUCUCUUGCGGCUCUGCUCAACCUCCCGCUCGAUGCCGUCUCCGUUCCGGCUCCGAUCGGGACAAGGAGCAUCGGCUCCGUCUUCUCCACGCCGCCGGCGCCCUCGCUCGGGCGUGACCUCGUGGUCCACACCGCGGCGCCGCCGUCCGCUGCGGAUUCCACAGGCGUCGUCCCGCCGCUCCUGCCGCGAGCGGAUCACACCGCCCCGCUGGCGGGGUUGGCGGCGUCCGCCCCGGCCGCGGGCCUUGCGGCGUCCGCACCGGCCGCGAGCUUUGCGGCGCCCCCCCUGGCUGCGGUCCCGCCUCCUCCCGCAUCGGCUUCGGUGUCUCCGGCUGCCUCCAUGGUGUUUGCACCCCAGGCAGCCUCCUCGAUGGGAUCGUCUUCGCCGCCGCCGUUUCACUUCGGUCAUCUCAUCACCAUCAAGCUCUCCGCAGACAACUACAUCUUCUGGCGUGCGCAGGUUCUCCCGCUCUUGGGGAGUCACUACCUGCUAGGCUACGUCGACGGAUCGCUUCCCUGCCCACCCGCGCUGGUAGACAGCGUGCACGGUCCGGUCUACAAUCCGGCCCAUCGCGUCUGGACGGGGCAGGACCAGGCGAACCUCUCCUCCAUUCAGGGGUCGCUCUCGCCGGCAGUUGCCGGCCUUGUUGUCUUCGCGAAGACGUCUCAUGAGGCCUGGACCAUCCUUGAGCGCACCUUUGCAGCGCAGUCUCAGGCUCGUGUCUCUGCACUCCGUCGUCAGCUUGGAGAGUGUCAGAAGCUUGACUCCACGGCCACUGAGUUCUACAACAAGGUCAAGGGCCUUGCCGACACAUUGGCCUCCAUUGGACAGCCCCUCACCGACUCCGAGUUCAACUCGUUUAUUGUCAAUGGUCUUGAUGAGGAGUAUGAUGCCUUAGUCGAGAUCAUCAACGAGCGGGGUAACUCGACACCCAUGUUGGCACACGAGGUUUUCUCUCGGCUUCUUCUCACUGAGAAACGGGUCGAGACUCCCCGCACCAGGGGCACUGGCUCUCUCUCGGCCAACGUCGCCACCAAGGGUGGCCGCUCUUCUUCAUCACCCCGGUCUCCCUUGGGGCUGCCACCGUCGCCCGCCUCGGCCCCCCCACCUACUGCGACCUUACCGGGGGCUGGCGGUCCACGUGUGUGUCAGCUUUGUGGCCGCGAUGGGCACUGGGCCUCCAAGUGUCAUAAGCGCUUCCAGCGAAGCUUCCUUGGUCUUGGCAAUGACGGCAAAGAUACACGCAACAAUGCCCGUCAGGUCGCCAUGGCUGAUCGUCCCGCACCGCAGAAGCACCAGGGACACACUCAGUCCUACUCCAUCGAUCCACACAGGUACAUGGACUCUGGGGCGACAGAGCAUCUGACCAGCGAGAUGGGGAAGCUUCACACUCGUGAACCCUAUCAUGGCUCCGACAAGAUCCACACCGCCAAUGGAGCAGGUAUGCACAUCUCUCAUAUUGGUCAAGCAUCUCUUCUCACUAGACAUGCCAAUAGGAGUCUUCAGCUUCGCAAUGUUCUUCGCGUUCCAUCUGUGACCCGCAAUCUUCUUUCGGUUCCUAAACUCACACGUGAUAAUAAUGUGCUUUGUGAAUUUCACCCUUUUGAUCUUUUUAUUAAGGAUCGGGGCACGAGGGACAUUCUUCUUAGUGGGCGGUUGUGCCAGGGCCUCUACCGUCUGGAGCAUCCUGGCGUCGCUCGCGUUUUCAGUGGAGUUCGGGUCUCUCCAUCACAGUGGCAUGCUCGUCUUGGUCACCCGGCCACACCUAUUGUCCGUCAUAUUUUGCGUCGUCAUGAGCUUCCUAGUUUGUCUAGUAAUAAAGAUGUAGCAGUGUGUGAUGCUUGUCAGCAGGGGAAGAGUCAUCAACUUCCUUUUUCGGAGUCCAGUCGUGAGGUGAAACAUCCGUUAGAACUUGUGUUUUCAGAUGUAUGGGGUCCUGCUCAGACUUCUGUCAGUGGUCAUAAUUACUAUAUCAGUUUCGUUGAUGCUUAUAGUCGCUUUACCUGGCUUUACCUUAUUAAACGCAAAUCUGAUGUGUUUGAUAUUUUUGUUCAGUUUCAAAAACAUGUUGAACGUCUUCUCAAGCACAAAAUUGUUCAUGUCCAGUCGGACUGGGGGGGCGAGUAUCGCAACCUCAACUCCUUCUUUCAGUCGCUUGGGAUAGCUCAUCGUUUAGCAUGUCCACAUACACAUCAGUAG